rnacentral:rRNA from 1 species
UACAGAGGUCUCAAGCGUUGUUCGGAUUUAUUGGGCGUAAAGGGCGCGUAGGCGGCUCGGCACGUCCGUUGUGAAAUCGCCCGGCUCAACUGGGCGGGGUCGGCGGAUACGGCCGAGCUGGAGCAAGCUAGGGGGUAAUGGAAUUCCCGGUGUAGUGGUGGAAUGCGUAGAUAUCGGGAGGAACACCAGUGGCGAAGGCGGUUACCUGGAGCUUUGCUGACGCUGAUGCGCGAAAGCGUGGGGAGCGAUCCGG